rnacentral:lncRNA from 1 species
CAAUUUUAUCAGCAUAAAGGCCUUUUACAUGUAUACACGGAGAGAGGCUGUGCAAAAGAAGUCGCUGUUCCUCCUUCAAAGCAAGAAUUUGGUCUCCCAAAUCAAGAGCAAAACAGCAUCUUUCGAGUUGCCAAACAAUACAUGGAGUUAGUGUCCAGCUGCUCCCGCAGUUUUGGAUAGAACCCCUUAUGCAAGUCCAUUCUGCUUAAAUCAUUUCAACCGCUGUACAGGCAUUGACCUGGCUGGUAUAGAUAAUGGUACAGUGAAUUCCUUGGUAAAACUGCAAGAUCACAAUGUUCUGCUUCAUUUACUGCAAACCUGAAGCCUGUUUCCAGUUUUACCCACCUGAAUCUUUUCUCCUCUUGCUUGUCCUGGUGCCCUUGGGUCUCGAAGUCUCAGCAGGCUCUGAGUCGAGCAGCUUUUGCGUUGAAGGGCUGCCUGUGCUUGUGGGGACAGAAUUAUGAGGAGGUUCUCUUUCUUCUUUGCAAUCCGUCUCCAAAGCAUCUUGACAUGGAAGUUUCUCGUAUAACUUGAAGGGCUGCCUGUGAUUGUGGGGACAGAAUUAUGAGGAGGUUCUCUUUCUUCUUUGCAAUCCGUCUCCAAAGCAUCUUGACAUGGAAGUUUCUCGUAUAAAACAGCAGAGUCCAAGACAUACACACGGAGAGCGAGCCCUGAGAGUGUCGAGAUUCUUGCUGCAGCUGAAGGUGAUGAC